rnacentral:lncRNA from 1 species
CAAUGAGAAGGAACCCCCUGUGAUUAUUGACUGAAUAGAUUUUCUCAUUUAAAACUGGCAAAUUUCAGAUUGCUCUGAAUAUGCAUGGGAAAGUCCUAAUGGCAAAUACACAAGCACAGAGCCAGGCCAUUUUUAAGAACACCUAAAAUGCAAAGAUCCCAUCUUAGGAAUAAAUUCACUCACAAGACAGAUGUAACCAUAAAAACGUAAGAAUGUCGUCACACUGCAGUUCACGUGGCUGCUGACAAACAAGGAGGAGGGAAUUGGAGAAAGAGGCAGCUGAGGGGAACAGCUGAGACUGGUGAGUGAGCAGACAGGUGGAGAGUGACUAGAGAGGCAGGUGGACAGAGAGCUGAAGCUUGUGAGUGAGCAGGCAGGUGAGUAAGACUGGUGAGAAGAGUGGGUAACCCAGGCCACUGAGUGGAGCAUUGGUGGGCUAUGAGGAAAAAGGCAGGUGAGCAGCAAGGAGGAAGGGGAAUUGGGCAAGGUAUAAGAGGAAGAAGGGGAUUGGACAGGGGGUGGGGUUUGGCAGAUGACAGGUAGGUGGGUUGAUGAGUGAAGCACACAGGGGCAACAGCCCCUAGUGUAUAUAUAAAGUGGUUCAUAAAAACAUAUCGACUUGGAGGCUUUCUACACCUCAGCCUUAUAGAUAUGAACACUAUGUUGUAUUCCAAUAGUGAAGAGAUAAUAGAUUGGAAAGUGUUGAGGAGAUUCGUUAACAUCUGAAGGCCUGCUGUAGGGUUCACUGAAAGUGAAACUUCAAAUAAUGUACCAUUUUAUGCACACUAUUUGUGGUUGUUUUCUCAUGAUAAAUAGCGAUUUCAGUCAUGCAGAUCAGGGACGUUUGCCUGCUUGGGCUCAAGGAAAGGUUGUUGGGAAAAGGAUCUGCCCCUUCGUCUAUUUAUUUGUUUGUUACAGAAAUCACUCUGUCCCAUGAAGGUGAUGACCUUGGCACUCUUGGUGUAAUAUAUUUCACUGGGCUGUUGUAAAAAAAGGAAAGGAAGGGCAUUUGUAGGAGAACAAAAAAGUAAAACAGUGUGUUCUAAACAAAUAUAGACGGGGGGUGUGUGUGUGUGUGUGGUGUACAAUUCUGCCUUGCGCUCUCUAAAAAGAGCCCCUAUCCAUAGAUCUUCAGAGAUGAAGCAAUGUCCUAAGUUAAGGCCUCCAUUUUUUCCUUCCUCUCAGAUCCGCCACCAUUCGAAAGGCUCUGCAAUAAAAGUGAUGUCAACAUAUGCAAUCCUGGUUGGGCCAAAAACUCCCAUAAAGACAUAAGAAGAGCCCUGCUGGAUCAGAUGAUUGGCCUACCUAGUCCAGCGUCCUGUUCCCCACAGUGGAUAGCCAAAUGACUCUGGGAAGCCCACAAGAAGAAUAUAGGUGCCUUCGCCUUCUCUUGUUGCUGUUUCCCAACAACUGGUGUUCAGUGGCAGGGUUUUUAUUUUUAUUUUGGAGGUAGUAUAUAGACACCAUAACUAGUAACCUUAUACUUCAUGAAUCUGUACAUCGUGCAGAAAUGUUUAGCCAGCUUAAACUCUGAAGAGCAGUUGACCCAAAGUAGAUUAUGCGAUAAGUCAUGCUGAAUGAGCUAUCUGGGCCGAUGAAAGGCGGCUCAUAAGGUAAGAAUGUUUUAGAAUUCUGGGUAAUAGAGGGUGCUGAUUGGGAAAUGAUGAGGUGGUGAGUAUUCCAAUAAUAAGUCAAUUUUCUCUGUGGCUUCUGAAUUCCUUCUGAAGGACUUAUUAGGUAAUCAACCCGGCAGGAGACUUCACUGCUGCUUACAAGUUCCAUUUAUGCGCAUAUCCUCCAGCUGUUGAGCUUGUCUUGCGUCCGCUGUGCUUGAAACAGGUUUCUGCUUUAGCGAUACCAGCUCAGCAGUUGGUGCAAGUCAAAGGAAAGCCACUCAGUGGCAGCUGCGAAGGGCGACCCAACAGCCCAGAACUAACCUGCUAUGAGCUGCAGAGCCCAGUGAUCCAGAAAAGUGCUGUCAUUUCAAGAAUAAAUGCAGAGUCUGGGGACCCUGAGCAGAGGCACUGCCUGCUUUUCCUUAUGGGGGCAAACAAUGUUAUAGCAUCAUAAAGGCCUCUUCGUAUGUAAUAGAUGUACUUGCCCCGCUGUGGGAACAAAGCAGGGAAACUUUCCUAUUUGUCCUUAGACAACUUUGUCACAAUUUAAGUCUCACUCUGAAUUUUCAAAGGCAUCUCAUUUAAGUGUCUAGCAGAUGCAAGAUGGGAGCUGAGGCAAAUGUGAGCAUCAUCACAAAGGGUGUUGUCAGGGAACUGCCAUCAGUGCCGGAGGGAGAGAGCAAAAUCCAGAGGGAUUCCAGAGAGCGUCCUGGGAUUGGGAGAGGCAGCCCAUCUUCUGGGGAAGAGAAUCAGCGUAGCACCAGUGGAGAAGGGGGGCAGAUGGGGGAAGCGGCAAGGCGGUCCCAUGACUCCUUGCCGGGGACCAGCGGGGAGAGUAGAGGUCCUCCGCUGCCUAUGCCCUCCUUGCGCAGAAGGCUUUCACGCAGAGAGAGUAGGAGGAGACUAGGCGUCAAAGAGCUUCUUUGCUGGAAGAAGUUUAAGAAAUGCCCACUGACGGAUUCUGCCAGCGAUUGAGACAGCCACAGGUGAGUGGCUGUCCAGACAGAAAAGGUUCACUCAGGCAACUCAGCCAGGUGUUUGCACCGGCUUACGCACAAGCAACCCCUAGAACCACUACAGGUGUCUAUAUAGCCUCCAAUUACACCAUAGGAAGAAACCACAGAUUUGGUGAUGGAAAUUGUACCUCAUUUAAAGCCAAUGUGCCCCACUGCUUUUCACAUUCACCCUGGUGAUAGGUUGUUUCCCUCUUCUUCCAAGCAGCAGCAUGUUCUGGAAGAAGCUUUGUGGGAUACAUUGUGAAAAGAGAGGCCUGUGGAACUCUUCAUGAUAUCUGUUUACAGUACUCAUAAAUAUAUCACUUGUCAUGCUUUCAACAUCAAGUGAUUAUCUUGCCAUCAAAUGAUUAUUAUUUGGAACCAAUCAGGCUUGAUAGGAAAACGCAACUUCUCAUUUGGAACGAAUCAAGCUUGAUAUAAUAAUGCAAUAUGAGUCUGUAUGAGUCAUUUGCAGCAGGGUCACUACCUAAUCAAUCAUGUGAUAAUAGGGGAUGCUUGAGCAUUUUGCUCCUUUGCUAAUUCUGAUAUGAACUGAGCUGAUCCACACUUCCUGGGUUAAUGUACACAGUGCUUUUUUCCUGGGGGGACGCAGGGGUACGCAUACCCCUAAACAUUUUGUGAAUCUAAGUUUGGCCUCAUUGAGGGGCAUUAUUUCAAUGUGAGUAGGAAAAUGAGAGAUCCCCUAAACAUUAUUAUUAUUUUUAGGAAAAAAACACUGAAUGUACAAAUUGGAACCUGUUUAUCCACCCACUUUUGAACUUCCUAAAUGUGUAUACAUGGUUGUGCACAUAUUGAACAUGCAGAAACAGGUGGCUGCCUAUACUUUUGAAAACAACAGCAACACAACAAUGAAUUUUCCCCAAGGCUGUUUCUUAUCAGUCACAUUCAAAACUUAGCAUUUCUCCCAGUCCAUAAAAUUUCAAAAUGCCCUUUCAAUACAAAGUCCGAUCCUGG